rnacentral:rRNA from 1 species
UGAAGAGUUUGAUCCUGGCUCAGAUUGAACGCUGGCGGCAUGCCUUACACAUGCAAGUCGAACGGCAGCGCGGGGCAACCUGGCGGCGAGUGGCGAACGGGUGAGUAAUAUAUCGGAACAUACCCUAGAGUGGGGGAUAACGUAGCGAAAGUUACGCUAAUACCGCAUACGAUCUAAGGAUGAAAGCGGGGGAUCGCAAGACCUCGUGCUCAUGGAGUGGCCGAUAUCUGAUUAGCUAGUUGGUAGGGUAAAAGCCUACCAAGGCGACGAUCAGUAGCUGGUUUGAGAGAACGACCAGCCACACUGGAACUGAGACACGGUCCAGACUCCUACGGGAGGCAGCAGUGGGGAAUUUUGGACAAUGGGGGCAACCCUGAUCCAGCAAUGCCGCGUGAGUGAAGAAGGCCCUCGGGUUGUAAAGCUCUUUUGUCAGGGAAGAAACGGUGUUUCCUAAUACGGAAUGCUAAUGACGGUACCUGAAGAAUAAGCACCGGCUAACUACGUGCCAGCAGCCGCGGUAAUACGUAGGGUGCAAGCGUUAAUCGGAAUUACUGGGCGUAAAGCGUGCGCAGGCGGUUUUAUAAGUCUGAUGUGAAAUCCCCGGGCUCAACCUGGGAACUGCAUUGGAGACUGUAAGGCUAGAGUGUGUCAGAGGGGGUAGAAUUCCACGUGUAGCAGUGAAAUGCGUAGAUAUGUGGAGGAAUACCGAUGGCGAAGGCAGCCCCCUGGGAUAACACUGACGCUCAUGCACGAAAGCGUGGGGAGCAAACAGGAUUAGAUACCCUGGUAGUCCACGCCCUAAACGAUGUCUACUAGUUGUCGGGUCUUAAUUGACUUGGUAACGCAGCUAACGCGUGAAGUAGACCGCCUGGGGAGUACGGUCGCAAGAUUAAAACUCAAAGGAAUUGACGGGGACCCGCACAAGCGGUGGAUGAUGUGGAUUAAUUCGAUGCAACGCGAAAAACCUUACCUACCCUUGACAUGGAAGGAAUCCCGAAGAGAUUUGGGAGUGCUCGAAAGAGAACCUUUACACAGGUGCUGCAUGGCUGUCGUCAGCUCGUGUCGUGAGAUGUUGGGUUAAGUCCCGCAACGAGCGCAACCCUUGUCAUUAGUUGCUACGAAAGGGCACUCUAAUGAGACUGCCGGUGACAAACCGGAGGAAGGUGGGGAUGACGUCAAGUCCUCAUGGCCCUUAUGGGUAGGGCUUCACACGUCAUACAAUGGUACAUACAGAGGGCCGCCAACCCGCGAGGGGGAGCUAAUCCCAGAAAGUGUAUCGUAGUCCGGAUUGUAGUCUGCAACUCGACUACAUGAAGUUGGAAUCGCUAGUAAUCGCGGAUCAGCAUGUCGCGGUGAAUACGUUCCCGGGUCUUGUACACACCGCCCGUCACACCAUGGGAGCGGGUUCUGCCAGAAGUAGUUAGCUUAACCGCAAGGAGGGCGAUUACCACGGCAGGGUUCGUGACUGGGGUGAAGUCGUAACAAGGUAGCCGUAUCGGAAGGUGCGGCUGGAUCACCUCCUUU